UACGUAGGCAGCGAGCGUUGUUCGGAAUUACUGGGCGUAAAGGGCUCGUAGGUGGCCAACUAAGUCAGACGUGAAAUCCCUCGGCUUAACCGGGGAACUGCAUCUGAUACUGGAUGGCUUGAGUUUGGGAGAGGGAUGCGGAAUUCCAGGUGUAGCGGUGAAAUGCGUAGAUAUCUGGAGGAACACCGGUGGCGAAGGCGGCAUCCUGGACCAACACUGACACUGAGGAGCGAAAGCCAGGGGAGCAAACGGG
rnacentral:rRNA from 1 species